rnacentral:rRNA from 1 species
AGUCAACGCAUGGCGGCGUGCUUAACACAUGCAAGUCGUACGAGAACGCUUCUGCUUGCAGAAGCUAGUAAAGUGGCGCACGGGUGAGUAACGCGUGGGCAGUCUACCCUCGAAUUGGGGAUAACAUUGCGAAAGCGAUGCUAAUACCGAAUAAUAUCCAUUUAUUUUCGGAUUUAUGGAUCAAAGGUGGCCUCUUCUUGAAAGCUACUGUUUGGGGAUGAGCCCGCGUCCCAUUAGCUUGUUGGUAGGGUAACGGCCUACCAAGGCACCGAUGGGUAGCUGGUCUGAGAGGAUGAUCAGCCACACUGGAACUGACACACGGUCCAGACUCCUACGGGAGGCAGCAGUGAGGAAUUUUGCGCAAUGGGGGAAACCCUGACGCAGCAACGCCGCGUGAGUGAUGAAGGCUUUCNGGUCGUAAAGCUCUGUCAAGUGGGAAGAACCUGCAUUUGGCUAAUAUCCAUUUGCACUGACGGUACCACUAAAGGAAGCACCGGCUAACUCCGUGCC